rnacentral:rRNA from 1 species
UAGGGAAUCUUCCACAAUGGACGCAAGUCUGAUGGAGCAACGCCGCGUGAGUGAAGAAGGUUUUCGGACCGUAAAGCUCUGUUGUUGGUGAAGAAGGAUAGAGGUAGUAACUGGCCUUUAUUUGACGGUAAUCAACCAGAAAGUCACGGCUAACUACGUGCCAGCAGCCGCGGUAAUCGUAGGUGGCAAGCGUUGUCCGGAUUUAUUGGGCGUAAAGCGAGCGCAGGCGGAAGAAUAAGUCUGAUGUGAAAGCCCUCGGCUUAACCGAGGAAUUGCAUCGGAAACUGUUUUCUUGAGUGCAGAGGAGGAGAGUAGAACUCCAUGUGUAGCGGUGGAAUGCGUAGAUAUAUGGAAGAAUACCAGUGGCGAAGGCGGCUCUCUGGUCUGCAACUGACGCUGAGGCUCGAAAGCAUGGGUAGCGAACAGGAUUAGAUACCCUGGUAGUCCAUGCCGUAAACGAUGAGUGCUAAGUGUUGGGAGGCUUCCGCCUCUCAGUGCUGCAGCUAACGCAUUAAGCACUCCGCCUGGGGGAGUACGACCGCAAGGUUGAAAC